GACGGAGGAUGCAAGUGUUAUCCGGAAUCACUGGGCGUAAAGCGUGUGUAGGUGGUUCGAAAAGUCCACUGUUAAAAAUUGAGGCUUAACCUCAAAGAUGCCGUGGAAACUUUCAAACUAGAGUAUGGUAGGGGUAGAGGGAAUUUCCAGUGGAGCGGUGAAAUGCGUAGAUAUUGGAAAGACCACCGAUGGCGAAGGCACUCUACUGGGCCAUUACUGACGCUGAGGCGCGAAAGCUAGGGGAGCAAACGGG
rnacentral:rRNA from 1 species